GUCUAAGGUGCAGAUGGUUGUAGUUGGCAGGCUCCUAGGUAAGGCAUGUUCUGGAGAAGGUACUAUGAAUUGAUAAUAUCAAAACAAAUCUACUGGGAGCAUCUGCAAGUGUGCAUCUGUAUCUCAGAUCAAUUACAGUUGAGUUCAGUCCUGCCUGAUUCAUCUCCCAAAAAUGUAACCUCCGCUUAGAGGAGUUUUCAAGUUGGGGGUGGUGGCCCAUUCAGUGAUGUCACUGACAGAUGCACCUUGUGGGGUAAAAUGUCCCAAAGUAUCUUUUUUUUUUUUUCCUUAUGUGCAUAAGAACCCUGGUCUGGAAUGUGCCACACCUGCUCUCACGCCACCAUGGACUCCUGGACCCUCUGUGUGUCCAUUUGUAUCCUGGUAGCCACAUGCACAGAUGCUGGCAUUAUCCAGUCACCCAAGCAUGAGGUGACAGAAAUGGGACAAGGAGUGACUCUGAGAUGUGAGCCAAUUUUAGGCCACAAUCUCCUUUUCUGGUACAGACAGACCUUGGUGCAGGGACUGGAAUUGCUGUGUUACUUCCGCAGCCGAUCUAUUAUAGAUGACGAACAGAUGCCCAAGGAUCGAUUCUCAGCUGAGAGGCCUGAUGGAUCGUUCUCUACUCUGAAGAUUCAAUCUACAGAGCAGGAGGACUCCGCUGUGUACAUCUGUGCAAGCCGCUUAGCCACAGCGCUGCAGAAUCACCCCCUCUCUGUGUAGAAACCCUGGUGCUUCCUCUUCUCCCCACAGCUCCCAGCAGUCCCGAGCAAAGUCUUUCCUGCUCCUCCCU